CGACCUGGCAACACUGGGCGAAGAGACGCCAUUCUGAGACAGCAGGAAGGACAGGACGGCGUGCUUCACCGCUCUCUAACAGCCAUGUCUUACGGCCGAGGCAACAAUGAGUGUCGCAUCUAUGUGGGGAACCUACCGCCGGACAUCAGGACCAAAGAUAUUGAGGAUCUGUUCUACAAAUUUGGCAAAAUCGUCUUCAUAGAUCUGAAGAACCGUCGCGGCCCACCCUUCGCCUUCGUGGAGUUCGAGGACCCAAGGGAUGCAGAGGAUGCAGUACAUUCACGUGAUGGAUAUGACUAUGAUGGCUACCGCCUUCGUGUGGAAUUCCCCCGUAACAGCCUUCCUGGGGCUGCACGCGGUGGCUCUGGCAGGGGCAGGGGAAGGGGACCCCCAGCUCGUCGUUCACAGUACAGAGUGCUUGUUACAGGGCUGCCUCCUACAGGUAGCUGGCAGGACUUGAAGGACCAUAUGCGUGAGGCUGGUGACGUCUGCUAUGCUGAUGUGUACAAGGAUGGCAGUGGGGUGGUGGAAUUCCUUCGCUAUGAGGAUAUGAAAUAUGCUGUCAAAAAGCUGGAUGAUUCAAAGUUCCGCUCCCAUGAGCAAUUACAGGGUGAGAAUUCCUACAUUCGUGUGAAGGAGGACUACGGUGGAUCCAGCCCAGCAUCAGGUGGAGGCCGUGGUGGCAGGUCAAGAUCACGCUCCAGGUCCCCACGGGGAUACAGGGGCUCUCCAACAUACUCCCCUGUGCGGCGCUCAUAUUCAAGAUCACCCUCAAGGUCAAGGUCCCGGUCCAGGGACCGCUACUAACUCUACGGCUGGUCGCGGUGCAGACCCAAGAAGACACCUGGCAGUGAUUGGAUGGGCACUUGGCUGAUCUGUUAGUAGCCAAGUUGCCAGCCAUGGCCUGCAGGGGCACAACAGGCUGGGGACAGUGUGCCCUGCGCUGACUUGACUCUCUGGGCCCAUGCAGUCUGUAACCGGGAUUGGAGGACGUCAGUCCCGUAGCUAGUAGGCUGCUGCAAUAUGGCCAUCCUUCCUGCCAAAUUAUCGUAGAUUUUGGAAAGCUAGGAUUUGAGAAGUGGAGGAGGAGCAUUCACAAUGGCGUGGACGAGAGGCUCAAUCGGAGUGAAAGGCUCAGGAGGAUACAAUGCCGCAGCAAGCUAGCAAGGGGAGAAUCACACUUUGGAUAACUUGGAUCACAUUGGAUGGGAUGCUCUCAUAAGGAUCUCACUUGGAUUUACCAUGGAUAGAAAAAGCAGGAUAUUUCGGGGACAUGUUCUGCGCUCAGAGGAUCUCACUGGAGGAUCAUGGAUCACUUGUGGAUAAGGAUUUGAAACAUUCAAGGGAUUCGCCAAGUAGCAAAGGACUGGAUUUGUGAGUUAAGGAUUCACCUUCCCCCCCCCCCUUUCAUUGCCUGAACUUAUAACUAAUUUCCCGCCAUAGUCCUCUACUUAGUACAAAUUUACAGGUUACCAGUCACUAGAUUUUUCUUUUCUUUUACUGGGUUGAUUAAGCAAGAAAAUUUCCUAACAAUAUAACAGACUUUGAAUAUCCAGAAACAUAAUUAUUUGGAGUUUGACCAGAAUUGAUACCGUAAGGGGAAGUUGGCAAGGAAGAACGGAUAUAACUUGUUAUUAAUCAGCUUCUUUUUUGCAGCAGCAAUAUCCCACAUGGUCUUCUGUUAAGCAACAGUGAACUCAACAAUAAAAGGCUGUUGUGA
rnacentral:misc_RNA from 1 species